rnacentral:rRNA from 1 species
CUCGGCUCGACUCUCCCACCCAUGUGUACCUACCUCUGUUGCUUUGGCGGGCCGCGGUCCUCCGCACCGGCGCCCUUCGGGGGGCUGGCCAGCGCCCGCCAGAGGACCAUAAAACUCCAGUCAGUGAACUUCGCAGUCUGAAAAACAAGUUAAUAAACUAAAACUUUCAACAACGGAUCUCUUGGUUCUGGCAUCGAUGAAGAACGCAGCGAAAUGCGAUAAGUAAUGUGAAUUGCAGAAUUCAGUGAAUCAUCGAAUCUUUGAACGCACAUUGCGCCCCUUGGUAUUCCGAGGGGCAUGCCUGUUCGAGCGUCAUUUCAACCCUCAAGCUCUGCUUGGUAUUGGGCUUCGUCCUCCACGGACGCGCCUUAAAGACCUCGGCGGUGGCGUCUUGCCUCAAGCGUAGUAGAAAACACCUCGCUUUGGAGCGCACGGCGUCGCCCGCCGGACGAACCUUUGAAUUAUUUCUCAAGGUUGACCUCGGAUCAGGUAGGGAUACCCGCUGAACUUAAGCAUAUCAAUAAGGCGGAGGAAAUUACGAGUUGAUUCGAGCUCCGGCUCGACUCUCCACCCAUGUGUACCUACCUCUGUUGCUUGGCGGGCCGCGGUCUCCGCACGGCCCCUUGGGGGGGCUGGCCACGCCCCGAGAGAACAAAAAACCCCCGG